ensembl:lncRNA
GGCAUACCAUGAGUCCAUUUUAAAUACUUGGACUGCUUAGUUUAAUUACUGAUUGACAAACGUUUCACUAUGGAGCAGAAAGCAACCAUCUGUAACAAAAUACAGCUGCUCCAUCCUCUCAAAGAGCACUACAUUAUAGUCGAGGUCAUUAUAGGAAUCUGAGAAGUUCCCUUUAAGUGAGGUGAACUCAUGGGAUUCCAUCUUACCGUACAUGCACACACACCCCAACCCGAGUCAUCAGACUGGAAAAACCAGUUAUCACCAUUCAGUCUACUGUGACAAUCUCUGGGUAAACAAUAGGCCUAAGACAAAGAAAAUGUGGAAAUAUUUUUAUUAGAAGAAAUUCAGAAGAAUAUACCUACAAUUAUUUGGUAGUUUUUAUAUUAAAGAGUCUUUCAGAGAUGUAUCAAAGCAGUUAAGAAAAUAUGUUUGGCUCAAAAUGCUGUUAAGAGAUCUGGUGGAAAAUAAAGACAAGUCACAUAUGUAAAUUCAAGGCCCGUAAAUUCAAUGGUAUUUAUGAACUCUUUUGCAGAUGCUAAAAAUCUAAAUCGCAACCUAAAAAUCAAAGUCAAGUAAAUAUAAAUUCAAAAGGCCUCAUUUAUCAGUAAGAAAAAUAUGGUACCAGUCAAAAUUUGACACACCUACUCAUUCAUAGGCUUUUCUUUAUUUUUACUAUUAUUUUCUACAUUGUACAAUAAUAGUGAAGACAUCAAAACUAUGAAAUAGUUUUUGUAGUAACCAAAAAAGGGUUAAACAAAUCCAAAUAUAUUUCAGAUUCUUCAAAGUACCCACGCUUUGCCAGCUUUGCACACUCUUGAAAUUUUCUCAACCAGCUUCAUGAGGUAGUCAUCUGGAACGCAUUUCAAUUAAUUAAACAGGUGUACCUUGUUAAAGCAUUUGAGCCAAUCAGUUGUGUUGUGACAUGGUAGGGGUGGUAUACAGAAGAUAGCCCUAUUUGGUAAAUGACCAAGUCCAUAUUAUGGCAAUAACAGCUCAAAUAAGCAAAGAGAAAUGAGUCCAUCAUUACUUUAAGACAUGAAGGUCAGUAAAUCCAGAUCAUUUCAAGAACUGAAAGGUUCUUCAAGUGCAGUCGCAAAAACAAUCAAGCGCUAUGAUGAAACUGGCUCCAUUCAUUAGAGUUCAUUAGUUACCAGCCUCAGAAAUUGCAGCCCAAAUAAAUGCUUCACAGAGUUCAAGCAACAGACAUCUAAUCAUCAACUGUUCAGCGGAGACUGCGUGAAUCAAGCCUUCAUGGUCGAAUUGCUGCAAAGAAACCACCACUAAAGGAGUAAGAAGACCUGCUUGGGCUAAGAAACAUGAGCAAUGGAACAUUAGACCGGUGGAAGUCUGUCCUUUGAUCUGAUGAGUCAAAAUUUGACAUUUUUGAUUCCAACCGCCGUGUCUUUGUGAGACGCAGAGUAGGUGAACGGAUGAUCUACACAUGUCGUUUCCACCAUGAAGCAUAGAGGAGGUGUGAUGGUGACAAUGUCAGUGAUUUAUUUAGAAUUCAAAGCACACUUAACCAGUAUGGCCACAGCAUUCUGCAGCAAAACACCAUCCCAUCUGGUUUGCACUUAGUGGGACUAUCAUUUGUUUUUCAACAAGACAAUGACCCAACACACCUCCAGGCUGUGUAAGGGCUAUUUGACCAAGAAGGAGAGUGAUGGAGUGCUGCUUUAGAUGACCUGGCCUCCACAAUCACACAACCUCAACCCAAUUGAGAUGGUUUGGGAUGACGAGGACAACUGCAGAGUAAAGGAAAAGCAGCCAACAAGUGCUCAGCAUGUGGGAACUCCUUCUAGACGGUUGGAAUAGCAUUCUAUGUUAAGCUAGUUGAGAGAAUGCCAAGAGUGUGCAAAGCUGUCAUCAAGGCAAAGGAUGGCUACUCAGAAUAAUCUUUGUUUAACACUUUUUUGGUUACUACAUGAUGCCAUGUGUUAGUUCAUAGAUUAUUUUUUACUAUUUUCUACAUUGUCUUCACUACAAAGAAAAAUCCUUGAAUAAGUAGGUGUCCAAACUUGACUGGUACUGUAGGUCAAGUACACUUCUUUUCAUCAAGCAAUGCCGGUGUCCCAAAUUGCACCCCAUCCCCUAUAUAUAGUGCACUAUUUUGGGGAGAGGGUGAAAUUUGGGACAAAAAGGAGCCAUCUUAAUUCCAGACUCCUUCCUUAUGCUAUACAGAGCUUAAUUGAUUUAAUGUAGCUUAGUGCUCUAUCAUCUUGACAAUACACAUUCCAUUCCAUCUAACCGAUCAAGCACACGAUUUCACAACGUUGCAUUCUUUUCAAAAGUACAUUGUGUGCUCACUGUCAUGAAUAAAGGUGCUGGUUUUUGAAAGCCACUUAUUAAGAGUAUCUUUCAUUAUGGUCAGUAGGGAUAGGGAGGGACUGGAGGUCUAGCACUGGAGUAUGCAAACCACUCAACUACCUGUCAUUAAAUCAGAGUGUUAUACCUAUAGCUGGUCAUGGACAAUGCAUUUGUUCAAGACACUUUCACCAUUGUUGAACCUUUAGACUCAUGCCAAACGGUAGCCAAGUUCCUCAACUCAAAGUUGAGCACAGACUAGUUUAAUUGAACCUCCCAACUCACUAUGCAGUCGAUUCUUCAAAAAUGUAAAUUCUUAAACCCUUACCGUGUACCUAUCUUUGUUGUUUCAGGCCUUUGUUUGCAAAAAUGCCUACUUUUUAAUUACACGUUAAUCAAAAUACAACCGACUGUUUUUUCAUUGCUGUUGUUCUAAGAUGGCAACUCAGCAUGAAUGCGCAUGUGUCAAUUAAAUCUCAAAAAGGAAACAGUCAGUGGUUGUAUUUGACUAAGUUUUAUUAAAAAGUAUGGAUUUCAGCAAAGAAAGGCAUGCAAACAGAGGACAAACAUGGUACGGGAUUUAAGAAUUUGAAAAAAAUGUAAGUAUCAACUGCACAGCGACUUGAAGGAGUUGGAGGUUCGUAAAUAUAUAUAUAUUUUUUUUCUAAAUAACUCUAGUCUGCACUCAACUCCAUUAAUUAAAUCAUCUUGGAGUUAAGGUACUUAACCAAACAGCCAAACAGAUGAGAUGUCUUUAAGAGUUAACCUUCAUCUUGGGCAAUGCCAAAUAUCUGCUUGUACUUUUGACAACUCAUCUUUCAUGUACAUGUGUCAGGAAAACACAUUAUGCACAACUAGAUCUAGCUAUACACCAGGCUAUCCUGACAUGGUUGGAUUUAUCUCAAUUCUAAAUACUAUAGUAUGGGUAAGGGCCUUUGGUCAAUGUUGAAAGAUAUCAAUACAGUCAACGAGCGGUUGAGUAUUGGAAGGAUAAAGCACUUGGAUAUAGUUGGAGUAGAAGGACCACUGAUCCACAUAUUCUCUCCCACUGUCAGAAUAAGUAGCCAGGUCCCCGGAUUUGUUUGUGCUUUAUAGCCAACUCCUAUGGUCGUUGUCAUGCAAACCCCUUAGGUCAGAAGCUUCUUAAGUAAUUCUGCCUCAUUAGUUUGUUGCGCUGGUCAGGAUGUCUCUGGUCCUUGUCACCUUCAUGGUCCGCUCUCCUCGUUGGUGCAUGGCACCCGUAGUGUGUACGUACAAAGUAUGGUGGGUAGUGCCGUUUGCAUGGGGAAAAAAGGCCUCUCCUUCAGGGUACUCUCGGUUUGACAUGACAAUAACCAUAGGAGUUGGCAAUUCAGCAUAAACAGAUCUGGGACCAGGCUAACGUGUAAGCACUAAAACCGUGUGUCCACCUGAUUCCACAGCAGAGGGAUUGAGUGAACGUCUGUCAACUUUGCUUAUGUCAACUGGCUUAAUUGAGAAACAAUGUAUGCAGUGUCUAUGGGUUACAGAACAAGCACGCAUUUCAUUUCUGGCACACAGCAACACACUUUUGAGUUGGAGGCCCCAGGCACAAGCGGCACGCUGGGAGAAUGUUAGCCAGCCAGCCCCAAUCUGCAGGUAUUUCCCUGGCCGCUGUAACUUAUCAAGCUCUGAACCCUUAACAGACUUAAGGCUUUUAAACUCGACCACCACAGGGGACGUUGCUGCUUUUCCAAAUGCAGAGAAACGACAGACACAGAGAAAUCCUAUGGAUGUGUUCUCAGCUCAACCACUAAUGUAACUGCUUUCCCUUUUACUGGGGUUCAACUCUAACAGUUACAUGAAUCCAAUCUAUUAUUAAGGGCACUUGGGGCUUAUACAAUGCAUUCGGAAAGUAUUCAGGCCCUGUCCCCUUUUCCAUAUUUUGUUACGUUACAGCCUUAUUCUAAAAUGGAUUAAAUGAAAUGUUUCUCAUCAAUCUAUACACAAUACCCAAUAAUGACAAAGCUAAUUUAUUAAAAACAGAAAUACCUUAUUUACAUAAGUAUUCAGACCCUUUGCUAUGAGAUUCGAAAUUGAUCUCAGGUGCAUUUUGUUUCCAUUGAUUAAUCCUAUUCCUAAAACUUGAUUGGAGUCCACCUUUGGCAAAUUCAAGUUAUUGGACAUGAUUUGGAAAGGCACACACCUGUCUAUAUAAGGUCCAACAGUUGACAGUGCAUGUCAAAGCAAAAAACAAGCAAUGAGAUCGAAGGAAUUGUCAGUAGAGCUCUGAGACAGGAUUGUGUCGAGUCACCGAUCUUGAGAAGGGUACAACAUGUUUUUUUCUCAGCAUUGAAGGUCCCCAAGAACACAGUGGCCUCCAUCAUUCUUAAAUGGAAGAAGAUUGGAACCACCAAGACUCUUCCUAGAGCUGGCCGCUCUGCCAAACUGAGAAAUCGGUGGAGAAGGGCCUUGGUCAGGGAGGUGCCCAAGAACCUGAUGGUCACUCUGACAGAGCUCCUCUGUGGAGAUGGGAGAACCUUCCAGAAGGACAACCAUCUCUGGAGCACUCCACCAAUUAGGCCUUUAUGGUAGAGUGGCCAGAUGGAAGCCACUCCUCAGUAAAAAGCACAUGACAGCCUGCUUGGAGUUUGCCAAAAGGCACCAAAGGACUCUCAGACCAUGAGAAACAAGAUUCUCUGGACUAAUGAAACCAAGAUUGAACUCUUUGGCAUGAAUGCCAAGCGUCACGUCUGGAGGAAACCUGGCACCAUCUCUACGGUGAAGCAUGGUGGCAGCAUCAUGAUGUGGGGAUGUUUUUCAGCAGCAUGGACUGGGAGACCAGUCAGGAUCGAGGGAAAGAUGAACGGUGCAAAAUAGAGAGAGAUCCUUGAUGAAAACCUGCUCCAGAGUGCUCAGGAUCACAGACUGGGGAGAAGGGUCACCUUUCAACAUGACAACAACCUUAAGCACACAGCCAAGACAACACAGGAGUGGCUUUGGGACAAGUCUCUGAAUGUCCUUGAGUACCCCCAGCCAGAGCCCAGACAUGAACCCGAUCGAACAUCUCUGGAGACCUGAAAAUAGCUGUGCUGUAACGCUCCCCAUCCAACUUGACAGAGCUUGAGAGGAUCUGCAGGAUCUGCUUGUAGAGUCAUACACAUGAAGACUCGAGGCUGUAUUCACUGCCAAAAGGUGCUUCAACAAAGUACUGAGUCUGAAUACUUGUGAUAUUUCAGUUUUAUAUUUUUAAUAAAUUAGCAAACUUUUUUUUUUUAAAGAAACCGUUUUUGCUUGGUCAUUAUGGGGUAGUGUGUGUAGUUUGAUGAGGGGGAAAAAAUAACUGAAUACAUUUUAGAAUAAGGCUGUAACGUAGCAAAAUGUGGGAAAAGUCUAGGGUUCUGAAUACUUUCCGAAGGAACUGUGUGUGUGUGUGUGUAUGUAUAUACACAGUUCCUUCAUACAUACAGUGCCUUGCGAAAGUAUUCGGCCCCCUUGAACUUUGCGACCUUUUGCCACAUUUCAGGC